UGAGCCUUUCUCUCUUAGCUCCCAGUUAAUGUUCACAGCACGGGAGGCCCAGAGGGAAGGCUUGAA
ensembl:miRNA mdo-mir-12346 mdo-mir-12346